CAAGCAGGGUUAUGACCACUUGUGACAGCACAUGCUAAAACAACACUUCAGAAGAUAAAGAAGCCAUUGGGAGGACUGACAUCCUGGAGGCAGAAAUCCCACUUCUGUGUGAAAUGUCCCAUAUCUCACUCCAGGCUCAACAGAGAGACAGAGGAUCAGGAACUUCAUGUUGGCUUCAUCUUUUUAACCUGUAUUCUUGAAGAGAACAACUGAAAACGAAUUCCAGAUCCUGAAUGAGGCAGACUGUAAACAAGGAAACCUGAUACCUCAAGGACAGAAGGAGAGAACAAGAUGUCCAUAGACA